rnacentral:rRNA from 1 species
GACGAACCGAGCGAACGUUGUUCGGAAUAACUGGGCUUAAAGGGCGCGUAGGCGGGCCGCCAAGUUCGAGGUGAAAUCCUCCGGCUCAACCGGAGAACUGCCUCGAAUACUGGAGGCCUCGAGGCGGGUAGGGGCACGCGGAACUGUGGGUGGAGCGGUGAAAUGCGUUGAUAUCCACAGGAACUCCGGUGGCGAAGGCGGCGUGCUGGACCCGAUCUGACGCUGAGGCGCGAAAGCCAGGGAGCAAACGGG